rnacentral:rRNA from 1 species
CGUGGGGUGCUAAGCGUUGUUCGGAAUUACUGGGGCGUAAAGCGCGUGUAGGCGGCUCGCUAAGUUCGAUGUGAAAGCCCUGGGCUUAACCCCAGGAACUGCAUUGAAAACUGGCGGGCUUGAGUCCGGGAGAGGGUCGCGGAAUUCCUGGUGUAGAGGUGAAAUUCGUAGAUAUCAGGAGGAACACCGGUGGCGAAGGCGGCGACCUGGACCGGUACUGACGCUGAGACGCGAAAGCGUGGGGAGCAAACAGGAUUAGAUACCCUGGUAGUCCACGCUGUAAACGAUGAGCGCUAGAUGUCGCGGGUAUUGACCCCCGCGGUCGUCGCAGGUAACCCAUUAAGCGCUCCGCCUGGGGAGUACGGGCCGCAAGGCUAA